GAUGAACGCUAGCGGCAGGCUUAAUACAUGCAAGUCGAGGGGUAACAGGGGGUAGCAAUACCUGCUGACGACCGGCAAACGGGUGCGGAACACGUACGCAACCUCCCCAAAAUUGGUGAAUAGCCUUCCGAAAGGAAGAUUAAUACACCGUAACAUAAUGAAGUGGCAUCACUUUAUUAUUAUAGCUCCGGCGAUUUUGGAUGGGCGUGCGCCUGAUUAGGUAGUUGGCGGGGUAACGGCCCACCAAGCCUGCGAUCAGUAACUGGUGUGAGAGCACGACCAGUCACACGGGCACUGAGACACGGGCCCGACUCCUACGGGAGGCAGCAGUAAGGAAUAUUGGUCAAUGGACGAAAGUCUGAACCNGCCAUGCCGCGUGAAGGAUGAAGGCCC
rnacentral:rRNA from 1 species